rnacentral:rRNA from 1 species
AUAAUAUAAACGGCGUAAAGCACGACUAAACUGAUGUCAAGACUAGAACAGAAAACUAAACUGGGCCGUAAAAAGCCAUAAGUUACAAUAACCCAUCUACAACAAACAACUUCCACUCGUGAAAGCCCGGACACAAACUAAGAUUAGAUACCUUACUAUGCCUGGCCAUAACACAACAAUCUAAACCACCAAUUGUUCGCCAAAUAACUACGAGUAAAAACUUAAAAUUUAAAAGACUUGACGGUACCUCACAACAACCUAGAGGAGCCUGUCUUAUAACCGAUACCCCACGAUUAACCUCACCUCCCCUAGCCAACAGUCUAUAUACCGCCGUCGCCAGCCUACCUUAUGAAAGAAACAAAGUAAGCUAAAAAGUCAUACACUAACACGACAGGUCGAGGUGUAACUUAUGGGGGGGACAAGAUGGGCUACAUUUUCUAACACAGAAAAUACGAAUUAAACUAUGAAACAAGAAACUGAAGGCGGAUUCAGCAGUACACCAGGAACAAAAUACCUAUUAGAAACUAAAGCAAUGAGGUGCGUACACACCGCCCGUCAUCCCUGCAACCAUAUAAAAUAGCAAUACAUAAA